UGGGAUCAGUAACUUUCUCUUUGGUGGAA
rnacentral:piRNA from 1 species